AUUCAAGUCUGGCAGCUGUUGAGAAUCCUCAGGUCCCGAGUCUGGUUUCUCUGCCAAAUCUUGCCGCUGUGGCUUACUAGCAGCCAAGCCUUGGCUGUGUCCCAGUCCGGGAUGCCCAGAUCCGCAGACUGAGCUCUUGCAGAUGUUGCAUUGAUUUGGCACAACUGAGGAAGAAGAGAUUAAUGACAUGACUCCCAGACUUGAAGUAAUUGUGUAUGAUGCUCAGCGCCCAACUUCCUUGCACCGGCCAGGCUCUCAGGCAGGAGACGAAAAUAAUAUUACCUUCCAAUUUGAUCUUCUUGGCUGCUAAUUGAUUUUGGGUGCUUUUGAGAUGCACACAGCCACCCUUCCAUAUAUCACAAUAAUCUCUUCCAAAGAAUGGAAAUGUCACCAUAGAACACCUGCUUGAGACGGAUGUGCAGCGCCCUCCAAAAUAUUUGAAAGGACAAGAUUUCUGCGCAAAAGAGCAACCAGAGAGAAACAAAUCACAGCCAAAGGCCCCCCAAGUCCUCCUCUGCCUUGAAAGUCAUUGCUUUUUUUUUUUUUUU